UACAGAGGUCUCAAGCGUUGUUCGGAUUCAUUGGGCGUAAAGGGUGCGCAGGCGGCGUGGUAAGUUGAGUGUGAAAUCCCGGAGCUUAACUCCGGAACUGCACUCAAUACUGCCAUGCUCGAGGACUGUAGAGGAGAGUGGAAUUCACGGUGUAGCAGUGAAAUGCGUAGAUAUCGUGAGGAAGACCAGUUGCGAAGGCGACUCUCUGGGCAGUUCCUGACGCUCAUGCACGAAGGCCAGGGGAGCAAACGGG
rnacentral:rRNA from 1 species